UACAGAGGUCUCAAGCGUUGUUCGGAUUCAUUGGGCGCAAAGGGUGUGUAGGUGGCGCCGUAAGUCGGGUGUGAAAUCCCGGAGCUCAACUCCGGAACUGCACUUGAUACUGCCUUGCUCGAGUACUGAAGAGGAGACUGGAAUUUACGGUGUAGCAGUGAAAUGCGUAGAUAUCGUAAGGAAGACCAGUGGCGAAGGCGAGUCUCUGGACAGUUACUGACGCUGAGGCACGAAGGCCAGGGGAGCAAACGGG
rnacentral:rRNA from 1 species